CCUACGGUGGGCAGCAGUGAGGAAUAUUGGUCAAUGGACGCGAGCCUGAACCAGCCAAGUAGCGUGAAGGAUGACUGCCCUACGGGUUGUAAACUUCUUUUAUAUGGGAAUACAGUGGGUCGCGUGUACCUUUUUGUAUGUACUUUAUGAAUAAGGAUCGGCUAACUCCGUGCCAGCAGCCGCGGUAAUCCGGAGGAUCCGAGCGUUAUCCGGAUUUAUUUGGUGUAAAGGGAGCGUAGAUGGGUUGUUAAGUCAUUUGUGAAAGUUUGCGGCUCAACCGUAAAAUUGCAAUUGAUACUGGCAGUCUUGAGUACAGUAGAGGUAGGCGGAAUGCGUGGUGUAGCGGUGAAAUGCUUAGAUAUCACGAAGAACUCCGAUUGCGAAGGCAGCUCACUAGACUGCAACUGACACUGAUGCUCGAAAGUGUGGGUAUCAAACAGGAUUAGAUACCCUUGUAGUC
rnacentral:rRNA from 1 species